rnacentral:lncRNA from 15 species
CUCACAUCCCUGCACUUACUGUUUCUAGUUAAAUUUAUUUACUGUCUGCUAAGAAAAUGACAUUUGAACAGGAAGUCGUUGUCAGUGUCAGUUCAGGUAUCAGUAUGUUUGUUUGUUUUUUUUUUUGUUUAAUAUUUACUUUGUUAGUUUUACUUCAACAUGCAUUCCUACAUAUUUUAUAUGGUGAUAAAGUUUGUAAGUUGGUGUUUUUUUUCUUUCUUUGAGGUAAAAUGACAAAACAUCCAAACCUGUUCUUUUUUAAAGGACUGUCAUCAUGGUAACAUGGAUCCUAUUGAAGAAUUUGCUGCUGCCAUGGCCGGACUGUCCAUAAGUGAACAGUGCUGUCCACCUGUACGUGCAGCCUGCAUCAAGGAUCCACAAAAAACCACUGACGUCCCUCUGUCCAGCCUCCCUGGGACCAGCAGUGGGAUGUCCACUGGUGCCCAGAUAAAGCAACCAAAAAGACAGGUCUCAUCAGAGGAGGACAUCUGGCACCUUGGAAGCCAGCUUAAACAUCUCAAAGUCGCACAAAAGGUAAAGCAGACUGCAUGUGAAAGGGCAGUGGAGGCGCUUGAGGUAGCCAAGCCAAAGCCCAGACGGGGUGGAGUAAUGCACAGGUAGGCUCUCUAGCAGCAACACUCCUAAUUUAAUCAUACAUCAACUUAUAUUGAAUGAGUUACCAAGUGAAUUAGAGCUUAAACUUACAUUUUGACCUGUAAUGGAACUGGCCAACAGAAGUGUGAAUAAUUGCUGCCCCUUCCUGCCAUCAAGUCGCCCUCUUCCCCGGAGCAACAGGGACCUGCAGAUGGAGGACAUUCAAGCUGCGGGCAUGACCCUCUAGAUCCUAUUGGCUGUAGUGGUUGAAGAUGCUCCGUCCAUUUUGGCCAUAAAUGAAUUGUGCCAAAUAAAUGCAUAAUAAUCUGACUGAC